ACACCUAUUCGGUGCAACACGAUAACUUAGAGAAUCUCAACUCUAAACUUGACCUCAUAGAAAUGGCAAACCUAUGUUCCCCGGAUGAAAGACAAUAACUCGAUCUCUCUCUCCGUCUCCCUCUCCCUCUCUUCAUUUCUGGUUUUUCUAGAUGUGGAUUUGAGGUUGAACAAGAAGCUUUCUUCUGUAUAGUUCUGAGAGUUUCAUCCAUUUAUAUUUUUGUUGUACAUCUUACGCUUCGGGGAGGAGCGGGGCGUGAUCAGACCUUCUACUAGGGAAGGUGAGGAGGGAUUUAUUGAAGCGCAAGAUAUGGAGAUCAGAGGAGGCAAUAAUAAUAAUAAUAGAUUGAUGCUACCUGACGAUGGUUAUGAAUGGAGAAAAUAUGGCCAGAAGUUCAUAAAAAAUAUCGCAAAAUUCAGGAGCUAUUUUAGGUGUCGCAAGAGCCAAUGUAAAGCGAAGAAGCGAGCCGAGUGGUUGACCUCAGAGCCCAACAACCUUCGAGUCGUGUAUGAUGGGGUGCACUCUCAUGCCUCCUUGACACCAUCGGACUUCUCACAAGGGACUUCUAGUACUACUUCAAGAGCAAAUCCAUAUGACUUGUUAACACAAGUUUUGGAGGAUCAAUCUGCAAUUGGCAUUAGUUCGGAUGGAAUGGUCUCUCCUUCUAAAAAAGAGAUUGAACACUAUAAGAAAAGAGUUUUUUAGUUACGGAAUAUUUUACUAUGAAAUCAAAUUCCUAGUAAAUAAUAGGAUAUUUACUACGGAAAUAAUUUCGUUGUAAAUUUUCAUUUCGUAGUAAAUUCUCUCUUAUUAAUUUAUUAUGAAUUUAAUUCAUAGUAAAUUAACUAAUAUUUACCACGGAUAUUUUUGUAGUAGACUCGCUUAUCAAAGAUGGUUUCGUAGUAAAUUUCCUUGUAUUUACCAUGGAAGAAAAUAUUUUGUAACAAAUAACUGUAUUUGUAACAGAAAUAAUUCGUAGCACAAAAGUGCGUAACUAACGAAAACAUUUUGUAGUAAAUUAAUAUAUUAGUGAUGGAAAUAAUAUU